CUUUUUCAUCGACCCUUCUCCUUCUUCAUCGACGUUUUCGUUUCCUUCAUUUCAAAUCACAAAAUAUGAACAGGUUGAGAGUAAGAUGAAUCUUCAGAACCGGAGGAUUUAGGUUUUCUGCAUUGAAAAAAUCGAUAUCUCUUUUAAUAUUGAAGAUUGCCACUUUUCUCCCACUGCUUUACCACCGCAUCUUCCUCCGACCCUGCAACUCCUUCCUACUACAGCAAACCUUCGAAGAGUCAUUAACACCACUCUGCUUCAUCUGGUAUCGACGUGGCUAUCUUACUCUUCUCCUUCGUCUCUCUUUUCAUGGAGUCGCCGGAUCUAUCUUCGCAAUCAGUUCCUCCGGCAAAUCUUCUUCCGUUUACCGUGUGGCGUAUCUAAAGACACUUCACGAGUGUUCGGUUCAAGAACGAAUCGUGAAGAUCGAGAAAUGACUGAAGCAAAGAUGAAAUCAAAGCCGUCUAUGACUCCCUGUUCUUGACCUCCUCUUUCAUGGAGUAAGGCGCAGGUUCAUAGGCAUGUCCAUAACUUCAGGGAAGUACAGCAAUGUACUCUCCUCUCCAUAAAGACUAGAGGUUGCAGUGAGGACUGUUCUUACUGUCCUCAGUCCUCCAGAUACGACACUGGAGUCAAGGCCCAAGACUCAUGUCCAAGGACGCUGUCAUUGACUCAUUGUUGUUGUUAAGAAGGUUACGGAGACAUGCUUUGGGCAGAGGAGGAAGGGAAUCAAUCUCUUUUGGAAGACUCUUCUCUUAUUUCUGAGGCUAUGGCUCAUGAAUAGAGCAGCUGUUCAAACUUCGGGAAGAUGAGAAGAUAGCUAAAUGUGCUGCGUCCGGUGAAGCUCCUGAUCUGAAUGAUGCAGGGGAAAACGCCAAGUUCAGUGUACAUCAGGCCAUGGCAUCCAAUGAUGAGCAUCAUGAGGCUUUCCUGGAACGUGCUAAGGCCCUAACAGAUCUCGAGUUCACUUAUGUUAAUUCUUGUCAGGUCUAUGGAAACCAGAAAAAGUCUGUGAUAUCCACAACAGAAGUUGCAACACAAAUAUUCUGCAGAUCAUGUCUGAAGUAUCUAUCACUGCGGGUUGCUCAUGUACUUGUAGACGAGAAGGGAGAGACAGCAGAUGCUAAAUCUCCUAGGGUCUUCUACUCUUUCUUCUCAAAGGAGGCAAAAAGUUUGAUGAGGUACAAGAAACUUGCAUGUUCCGCAGUGUGUCAGGGUUGGUAAGGUAACUACCAAAUAGCCAUGGACGGUGAUCCAUGUCAGCGACCGUGUUGGCUUGAACACAUCCUUCUAAAAGCAUAAAUCGAUUAUUGUUAAUACAGUUUGUUAGUAUACAUAUGUUAUACAUAUGUUAGGAUAAUUUGUUGAGUGAUCUCUGAACCUGGAACUGAACAACGCUUUUCAUGCCCCACAUCUUUUAGUUGGUUGCCUAUUAGCUAAAGAGUACAAUGAUUAUGGUUCUGUU